GCGCCCUCAUCAGCCGUUCCGCUCUGCCAGAUUCACCUUCGGCCAACGCUGGCGCGGCGUAUGAGCCCUUUGAGGACUCGAUCUAUCCUGUUGCCAUUAUGGCACAAUCCCGUCAAUUUUCGCAGGUUAUUUUCUUCAUCGUAGUGCUGGGUAUCUUGGAGAGCAACCAGCGUUUUUUCUUGCAUGAAACUGCUCUUGCUGAUGGCGUUGCAGAAGUUUUUGGACCCCAGAUCACAUGUGCAGCUGGAUAAAAUGACAGAAGUAUACCCAGUUCGUGCAAAUGUGCUGCAGUGUCAGAUUGCCCGACUUAUGUAUCCAGUAUAUUCAACUUAUGUUUAUAUAUCUACGCACAAUAUAAUUGUGUACCCUGUUUUAGUUAUUUAAACAUAUAGCAAUUUUUUUUGCUUUUGAUUGAUUAGCUUUCCUUAAUAAAACCAGCCACAUAUUUUGUUUCUGCUGAACCUUUCCUGCGGUUUUCCUAUGAAGUUGGUUGUUUCAAUUCUUCCUUUGGCAGCUGAAUAAAGACUAGAGAUAGUAGUUAUUGACAACUCUGUGCAUGACUUGGCCUAUUAGCUACUACGUACUAGUUUGAUCUUUUCUGAAGUACUCAACCACACCCUUUCCAUAUCGUUCAUUACCUUUACACUAGUGGGUUAUCAAAACAAGGACCAGCGGCUCUGGUUUUGACCUGGUCUGUUUCUGCAGGAGCAACCAAGCAACUGAAAUAUUGGAUUCAAUCUACACAUAUUUGUCAAAGCUGCUGAAGAUCACCGUCAGGCAAGGCAAUGCGUAUUUCCCAAUGCUACUCCUUCAGAAAACAUACAGGGUUCGUUCUCCUCUCUGGCGGCGAGCAGACUGAGCAAGGCGCACUCGGAUCACCGAAAUUAUAUGCUUCUCCUUUUAUAUUUACACAUAACUGCUGGUCCAAUACAGGGUCCGCACGCUUGACCUCCUGCUGCAAAAGACGAUCAUCACUAUUGAGGAAGUUAGCUGCCCCUGUUGACUAGUGGGCAUCUUACCAAAACAAGAGCCAGCAGCUCUGGUUUUGACCUGGUCUGUUUCUGCAGGAGCAACCAAGCAACUGAAACACUGGAUUCAAUCCAUGCAUAUUUGUCAAAACUGUUAGCCGAAGAUCACCGUCAGGCAAUGCAUGCGAGAGUGGUUGUUCUUAGGACA